ensembl:lncRNA
GGGACAGAAGGGGGGAAAGGAGGUGAGGGUGAGAGAGCGAGCGAGCGCAAAAGGGGCGAGCGCGAGAGGCGCUCUGGAGAGAAACGCACAAAAGUGUCCCGCAAGUCGAAAUGGAAACAUAAAAAUGUACUCUCAAACCUGUGGUUUAAAAACGAAGAAUAAAUCUGUAGAAAGGUGGACUUAGAGUUGGGAUUUGGUGAGUAUCAUUUUAUUUUCUAAGUAUAAAAACAGGAAUUCUAUGGGGAUUCAUUUUUGACCCUUUUUAUAACCCUGGGAGGCAGAGCACUGUAUUACAUCCAUUCCAUCUUUAUCUAUUGACCUAUUUUAUUCACUGAUUUCUCAAGUGGGGAAACUGACUAAAUGAUUUCACAAAGCUUUCUCUGUAAUCAAUAGUCAUUUUUAAGGUUUAUUCAUGCUGCAUUAUAAUUCUGGUAAAUGACUGCAAAGUAGAAGAUUGUAAGAUAGAUACAAAUAUUGACAAAGCCAGGGUAAGUCAUGUCUUUAAAUCUUUAGGGCUUCAAUAUAGCAAUUGAUACAGUUAGACUGAAAAUGGGGAUUUCAUGGAAGAUAAAAAUACUAAAAUGAUCGAGUAACUCUUAAAGGCAAUACAUAUCUGAAUGUUUCUUGAACAUCUCAAAAUUUCCUGAAAGCUUUAAGUAUUCUCUUUUUACACAUCACUAAAUGAAACAGAAACAAUUUAGGAAUAUGCAGAAAGGGGAACAAGAAAAGGCUCCCUGAAAUUUUAUUCUUUUAUUUUUUUCCCCAAGUUCAAUUAGAAGCAUGCACAGAAAAAUACAGAUGUAUAUUUCAGAUAGAUACUGAAUUCCUUUCAGUGACAGGACAAGGAGAUAACAUGCUUAAUAGAUUCAAAGGGAGACUUACCAUUCCAAGCACGACGUCACUCUAAUUAUGUUUACUCUAAUUGAAAGCAAGGUUUUUUGGAAUCUGAAAUUACUUUCAGAAUUUUUUUUUAAAUAAUGCAAGUGGAUCAAAUGUUGAUCACAAGCAUUUCAAUCUUUCAAAAUGUAUUGGAAAAUUAAAUGAAAAGUGGAGUUUGGUACAAACAAUGCCCCAGGGCAAAAAACAACUAACACUAGAUUUUCCAGUCCAGCCAUAACACAAAUCAAUUUGAGCACACUUCUAUGGCCAGACUGCCAGAUUGUUAUGACUGCUAAUUCACUCAAUCAAAGAGUGCAUUAGCACACCCGGCACAAAUAGCUUUAACAAUAGGGUGCACUGCUGAACAAUUCUAAGAUAUAGCACAACGGAGAAGUAAAAAGUAAGAUCAUUUUUACAUCUGCAUAUGUACUAAUGGACCUCUUCCUCAAUAGGAAAAAAAAAAUACAAACUUCAGGCAGAGGUUUAUAAAACAGCUCUCCAAGUUUGGCAAAUCUAGAAAGAUAACAGGGUACCAGUAGUUGACUGACUUUGUUAAACAUUUCUCAGGAGAGUCCAAAAUUGAUGUUUACCCUUCAGUAGUAAAUCAUCGAAGAUGGAGAAAUUAUGCCAAGUAACUCUCUCAAGCCUUUUUAACUCAGUCACAGGGCCUCACCAUCAGCUCAGCAGAUAAACCUUGACUACCUUAAGCAAAGACUUCUCUACUUUUACGCUUCCUGUCUCUGCUCUCCCCACUUGGGUUUCCAACUUCUGAUUUAGAGCCUCACUUCUACAAUCUCCCUCUUUUCCAGUUCCUACCUUUCCUCAAACAAGGAAUAAGGCUUUUAUCUCAAGGAUACAUUCUCUGAUCAGAUGCAGAGAGCUUGGUGAUAAAUUACCUAAAGGACAGAAGGUGGAAAGCUGAACACACUAUAACUUGAAGCGCUCAAACUUUGUAUUACAAACUUCCAUUCUUAAUAAAGAAGUGGUUAAAAUUAUUAUAAAUAACUCACACUUGUUUUUCAGCAUGGAAAUGCAUGGGCCAUAUGUAUGCUUACUGAAUACAUAAAGUAAUUACCCAGUCAUAUUCACAUUUACCUGGAUGUCAGAACCAAAUGGCACAAUUUGACAUCACUGUUUCCUCCCUCAAUCUUCUAUCCUCAGCCCCUUUUCUCCUGGUUCAGAAUGAAGGGGACAUGUGGCCAAAAAUACUUUGCUGACUAUGAAGCAUAUUGUAAGAAAUCUCUAAACUCAAGUUGAGGGAGAGAAGGAGAAUAGUUAGAGGAGCAAAGAGGAGAACAGUUACAAAGAAGAAAAUCAUUGUGGACUGGUUUUCCUUAUUCCACACUGCAUCAUUCUUAUGACAGCAAGAAAAGAGGAUUUGAGAAGAGUUGAAGCAGGGAAUGGAAUUGAAAGAUCCCAAAGUACCCACGAUGUACCUACUCAAGGCUGAACCGGACUGUACAUUUCUGAGGUUCACAUAUCCAUCAGUCUUUUUGUCUGUUCAUUUCCUGGGGGUGUAUGGAACCCAGUAGAACGAAGAGACUUUGCUAUCAAAGUUGUAAAAUGGUAUAUUACCCUGUGAGCAAUUGCACUUGGAAAGGAACCAGUAAUUUAUAUGAGAAGUGUUUAAGAUUGCCUGCUCACUCAGUGAUCCAUGCCAGGUCAGUUCCAGUAAUGCCAGAAAACAAAAGGAGGUGCACAUCCCUGGGAAAGAGACACCUUAUACGCCUUAAGAGCUCGUGAAGGGAAGCACUCAAAUGCCAUUUUCUCAAAUGAACUGGUCAUUACCAUUUAAAAUCCUGAGGGCUGUGAGACUGGGGAAGAGGGAAAGAAUUUUUCUUUUGAUUUAACAGGGCUCUAAAGUCCUAGUUUUAAGGGGAAGGUGUUUUGUUGUUACUGUCUCAGCCCUGUGCUUUAGCAAAGGUUAAAUCCUGACACAGAAGUGCAUUUUCGAACAGCAGAAUGGAAAAGGAUGAACACAACUGCUCUGAGAAUGUGCCUAGCCAUUGGAAAAAUAUACCAAUUAACUUAUUUACAAAACCAAAAUAAACUCAGAAGCACAGAAAACAAAUUAUGGUUAACAUAGGAGGUGGGAAGUGACAGAGGGGGAGAGAUAAAUUAGGAGUCUGGGGUCAAAAUAUACAUGCUACAUACAUAAAAUAGUAAACCACAAGGGCUUUCUGUAGAGUACAGUGAAUUACACUCAAUGUCUUGUAAUAACCUAUAAUGGAAAAUAAUCUGGAAAAUGUAUGUAUAUAUAUAUGUGCAUGUAUAAUCGCAUCACUUUGCUGUACCCUUAAAACUAACACAUAUUGUAAAUGAACUCUACUUCAAUUAUAAAUAAAACAUUCUUUCAGCUUCAGUGUUCAGUCGUGUCCAACUGUUUGUGACCCCAUGGACUGCAGCACGCCAGGCCUCCCUGUCCAUCAUCAUCUCCUGGAGUUUGCUCAGACUCAUGUCCAUUGAGUCGGUGAAGCCAUCCAACCACCUCAUCCUCUGUCGUCCCCUUCUCUUCCUGCCUUCAAUCUUUCCCAGCAUCAGGGUCUUUUCUAAUGAGCCAAUUAUUUACAUCAGGUGGCCAAAGUAUUAGAGUUUCAGCUUCAGCAUCAGUCCUUCCAAUGAAUAUUCAGGGCUGAUUUCCUUUAAGACUGACUGGAUUGAUCUCAAUGAAGUCCAAGGAACUCUCAAGAGUCUUUUCCAAUACCACAAUUCAAAAGCAUCAAUUCUUUGGCACUCAGCUUCCUUUAUGGUCCAACUCUCACAUCCAUACACAACUACUGGAAAAACCACAGCUUUGACUAUAUGGACGUUUGUCAGCAAAGUAAUGUCUCUGCUUUUUAAUAUGCGGUCUAGGUUUGUCAAAGCUUUUCUUCCAAGGAGCAAGCAUCUUUUAAUUUCAUGGCUACAGUCACCAUCUGCAGUGAUUUUGGAACCUAAGAAAAUAAAGUCUGUCACUAUUUCCAUUGUUUCCCCAUCUAUUUGCCAUGAAGUGAUGGGACUGGAUGCCAUGAUCUCCUUUUUUUGAAUGUUGAGUUUUAAUACUUCAAUUAUAAGUAAAAUAAAAUAUUCUUAUACUUCAAUAAAGACUAAAUAAAAUUAGGAAAUUAACUAUUAAAAAUUACCAGUACAGAGAGUAAUACAUGCUCUGCUAAUAAUAUCUAUGCCAGGUUCUGAGUUGUUAUUAUUAAUUUUUUGUUUGACUUGGUUAUCUCAUAUCAACCCCCGUCUCCACCAGUUUACUGGAGAGGACUGUGGCACACUGGAAGGGUGCUGUAUAAAAACUAGUUUCUGGGAAUUCUUCACAGGCCUCCUUAUUCUGGUGUAACAUAAUCAAAGUACGGACUCUUGAGUGUGCUGACAUUGAGGGAGAGGGUUGCAUCACUGCCAUCCUCAGUCUCAAGCUUUCCCCAUAUGUUAUAAAAGCAUUUUAGUUUUUGAACCAGAGUUCAGUUCAUUCACAUGCCCAGCUUAACCCCACUUGAGUGUUUAUAGAAGGAAUUAGGAAAACAACCAUUUCCUAUAUAAGUCAGAAUUUAUAAUUCAUUGAUUUGCUCAGGACUCAGCACAUCCAGGAACCUUUGCAGAUAAUAACUAUCACUGUGCAUUCUGAUGGGUAAGGCAAUUAUACUAGGCUUUUACACUUGUUGAUAUGUUUCUCUUCAGGUGGUCUCAAGUCAUUCCCAUUCCUUUCAGAUAGAGAAUAUAAUGCUUAGCCCUUGCUGGGUGCUCAAUAAAAGUCAGCUGGGUAAUUAAAACUGCUUCUACAUUAUGCCACUCGUUUCCUUUGUCCCCAGAUUGUGUAAACUGCUCAUUCCCCAAAUCCUAUAUCAUUUAAUUCAGACCAGGAUAUUGAAGACUCACAAAAUUUAGUUAUGCUCAUUUCUGUUCUAUAUGCCACCAAGUUAGAAAAAUUCUUGAGGCAAAAAUCUAGAGAUGCUAAUAAAUUGGGUUUCAUAGAGCUGGGAAAGAUAAUCUUAGUCCUAUAAGAAAGGUUUGCAUCUGAGCCCCAUAAAGAACAUCUUAUUUUUUUAGUCAUUCAGGAGUCAUUGAGGAGUCUUCCUCAAGACUGAAAAUAUAAACGAAAAUAUACUCUAAAGGGGGCUUCUCUGGUGGCUCAAAUGAUAAAGAAUCUGCCUGCAAUGCAGAAGACCUGGGUUUGAUUUAUGGGUCAGGAAGAUCUCCUGGAGAAGAGAAUGGCAACCCACUCCAGUAUUCUUGCCUUGAAUAUCCCAUGGACAGAGGAACCUAGCAGGAUAUAGUUCAUGGGGUCACAAAGAGACACGACUGACUGACUAACAUUUUCUUUUUUCUUUAUACUCUGAAGCACUGCUACAGGUGAUGAGAAAAAGUACGUUCGUGUGUGAAACUCUGCUUCCCAAAUAGUGAAGCUGCAAAGCUGAGAAGACUUGAAUGGCCUUAUAUCUUCAAAGAAGUGCCUUGAGCUCUGGAAUGCCACAGAGUGGGAGAAACCACCGAACACCAGGAAAUGUCAACAAUGUGACAGGAACGCCUGGGCAGGUGAUUAGGGCCUUACUUUAGGUAUUUUCUAGAACAAGACUGCCAACAAAGUCGAAUAAGAAAUGGGUCUUUUUCCAACAGAAACUAACUGAUUUUGAAACACAUUGAUAACAGUGUGUGCAUAAAUUUAAGGACAUACUUUCCAGGCAAUUCUUUAUUAUACUUUGAUGUUAAGUGAUUUGAUUGAUAAAUUAAUAACUAUUACUGAAGAAGAAUUAAAAUUUACAAAAAUGUGAAUUUCAGUCCUAAUGUCAAUAGAAAGCUCUGGACUUUGACCAUAUAAAUCAUUAAAAAAGACAUAAGAUCAAACUAAUUUUAAUAGCUAAAGCUCAUUUACAUUUAUUUGUGGUCUAUUUCAAGCUUAUCUUAAAGGAGAACUAAAGUGUUCCCAAACACUAUAUGCCAAGAGUAGCAUUUAGAAGUUUAGUUACUUCUGAGCACAGAAUAAUAAUUAUAAUUGAUAAACUUCAUUGUAAAUAUAGUAGGUAUUUAACAAUGCAUUCAGUAACUAAACAAAAGCAUUUUAUAUGCAAAUAUAAAGAAAUAAACUCCUGUCUUCAAUGUUGGUUUUAAUCUUAAUAUUUAGAAAUAAUCAUCAUCAGUUUCUUGAUAACUUUUCUUAAUCAGAAUGUCCUCAUAAAUCUAACUACUACUUGUUGAAUAUCCAAAAGAAGCCUCCAAUCAGAAACAGUCAAAAGCAAAUAUACAAAGCGAUGUUUAUACAUACUGGAUUUAUGUGUGCUGAUUUGAUCAUAAACCAUAAGUCAAAAUCAACAACAAACAAUGCUGUAUUUAAAGUCCUCUAACUAUGAACUG